rnacentral:rRNA from 1 species
UACGAAGGGGGGCUAGCGUUGCUCGGAAUCACUGGGCGUAAAGCGCACGUAGGCGGCUUCUUAAGUCAGGGGGUGAAAUCCUGGAGCUCAACUCCAGAACUGCCUUUGAUACUGAGGAGCUUGAGUCCGGGAGAGGUGAGUGGAACUGCGAGUGUAGAGGUGAAAUUCGUAGAUAUUCGCAAGAACACCAGUGGCGAAGGCGGCUCACUGGCCCGGUACUGACGCUGAGGUGCGAAAGCGUGGGGAGCAAACAGG